GCGCAAAAAAAAAAAAAAAAAAAAAAAAAAAAAAAAAAAAAAA
rnacentral:ribozyme from 13 species